CCCGGUGAUAAUUUUAACGGCCGCAGUUAGGAGCUGUGCUAAGGUAGCGUAAUAAAUUGUCCUUUAAAUGAGGAAAUGAAUGAAUGGUUUGACGUAAAAAAUUCUGUCUCCAAAGAAAUUUAGGAAAUUUUUUUCUUAGUGAAAAAUCUAAGAUUUUAUUAAAAGACGAGAAGACCCUUUUGAGCUUGAAUUAUUAAUAUAGUUUAAUAUUAAAAAAGUUUGGUUGGGACAACCUGGGAGUAUAAAUAGCCUCCUUUGAGUAAUAAAAAUCCAAAAAUUUUGAAAAAAGAAAAAGUUACCGCAGGGAUAACAGCGUUAUCUUCUCUGAGAGAACAAAUUGAAGAGAAG
rnacentral:rRNA from 1 species